CCUACGGGCGGCAGCAGUGGGGAAUAUUGCACAAUGGGCGCAAGCCUGAUGCAGCAACGCCGCGUGAGUGAAGAAGGCCUUCGGGUCGUAAAACUCUGUCCUAUGGGAAGAAACAAAUGACGGUACCAUGGGAGGAAGCCCCGGCUAACUACGUGCCAGCAGCCGCGGUAAUACGUAGGGGGCAAGCGUUAUCCGGAAUCACUGGGCGUAAAGGGUGCGUAGGUGGCUUAUCAAGCCAGGGGUGAAAGGCAUUGGCUCAACCAAUGUAAGCCUUUGGAACUGAUAGGCUUGAGUGCAGGAGAGGUAAGUGGAAUUCCUAGUGUAGAGGUGAAAUUCGUAGAUAUUAGGAGGAACACCAGUGGCGAAGGCGACUUACUGGACUGUAACUGACACUGAGGCACGAAAGCGUGGGUAGCGAACAGGAUUAGAUACCCGUGUAGUCUAG
rnacentral:rRNA from 1 species